AGUUUGAUCCUGGCUCAGAACGAACGUUGGCGGCGUGGAUUAGGCAUGCAAGUCGAACGCGAACCGGUAGCAAUAUCGGGGAGAGUGGCGAAAGGGGCAGUAAUGCGUGGGUAACCUACCCCGGGGUCGGGUAUAGCCGUUCUAACGGACGGGUAAUCCCCGGCGCUGUGACGAGGCGGCAUCGCCUUGGCACGGAAGAAUUUCGCCUCGGGAGGGGCUCACGUCGUAUUAGCUAGUUGGUGGGGUAAUGGCCCACCAAGGCGUAGAUGCGUAGCGGGUGUGAGAGCACGACCCGCGCCACUGGCACUGAGACACUGGCCAGACACCUACGGGUGGCUGCAGUCGAGGAUCUUCGGCAAUGUGCGCAAGCAUGACCGAGCGACGCCGCGUGUGCGACGAAGGCCUUCGGGUUGUAAAGCACUGUCGAGGGGGAGAAAAGCCCGCAAGGGUCUGAUCUAUCCCUGGAGGAAGCACGGGCUAAGUUCGUGCCAGCAGCCGCGGUAAGACGAACCGUGCAAACGUUGUUCGGAAUCACUGGGCUUAAAGGGCGCGUAGGCGGACAUUCAAGUCGGUGGUGAAAUCCCCCAGCUCAACUGGGGAACUGCCUUCGAUACUGGGUGUCUCGAGUGAGGUAGGGGCAUGCGGAACUGAUGGUGGAGCGGUGAAAUGUGUUGAUAUCAUCAGGAACUCCGGUGGCGAAAGCGGCGUGCCGGACCUCAACUGACGCUGAGGCGCGAAAGCCAGGGGAGCAAACGGGAUUAGAUACCCCGGUAGUCCUGGCCCUAAACGAUGAGAACUAGGUAGUGGACUUGACAUGGGUUCACUGCCGGAGCAAAAGUGCUAAGUUCUCCGCCUGGGGAGUAUGGUCGCAAGGCUGAAACUCAAAUGAAUU
rnacentral:rRNA from 1 species